rnacentral:rRNA from 1 species
AACGAACGCUGGCGGCAGGCCUAACACAUGCAAGUCGAGCGAGGACUUCGGUCCUAGCGGCGGACGGGUGAGUAACGCGUGGGAACGUGCCCUUUGCUUCGGAAUAGCCCUGGGAAACUGGGAGUAAUACCGGAUGAGCCCUUUGGGGGAAAGAUUUAUCGGCGAAGGAUCGGCCCGCGUUGGAUUAGGUAGUUGGUGGGGUAAUGGCCUACCAAGCCGACGAUCCAUAGCUGGUUUGAGAGGAUGAUCAGCCACACUGGGACUGAGACACGGCCCAGACUCCUACGGAAGGCAGCAGUGUGGAAUCUUAGGCAAUGGGGGAAGACCUGAUCUAGCCAUGCCGCGUGAGCGAUGAAGGCCUUAGGGUUGUAAAGCUCUUUCAGCUGGGAAGAUAAUGACGGUACCAGCAGAAGAAGCCCCGGCUAACUCCGUG